rnacentral:tRNA from 1 species
GCCAGGGUAGCCUAGUGGACAUGUCAACUGCCCGGUAAGCGGAACACUGUGGGUUCGAUUCCCAUCCCUGGAU